UACAGAGGGGGCAAGCGUUAUUCGGAAUUAUUGGGCGUAAAGGGCGCGUAGGCGGCUUGGCAAGUGGAAGGUGAAAUCCCUCGGCUUAACCGAGGAACUGCCCUCCAAACUGCUUUGCUUGAGGCCGGGAGAGGUGAGUGGAAUUCCCAGUGUAGCGGUGAAAUGCGUAGAUAUUGGGAGGAACACCAGUGGCGAAGGCGGCUCACUGGACCGGUUCUGACGCUGAGGCGAGAAAGCGUGGGGAGCAAACGGG
rnacentral:rRNA from 1 species